GCCAAGCGGAUUAGAGUUUUGGGGUGCACCCUGCGAUGGCUAAUCCUGGCGUCGGGACCAAGUUUGUGUCCGUGAAUCUCAACAAAUCGUAUGGACAGGCUCAUCAUCAUCAUCAUUCAUCUCAUUCCAAUUCUUAUGUAUCAAAUCGAACGCGACCUGGUGGUCAUGGGGCCGGCGGAGGAAUGGUGGUCUUGUCGAGGCCCCG
rnacentral:misc_RNA from 1 species